rnacentral:misc_RNA from 1 species
GACGAAGUCAUGGCUUGUCUGAAGGAAUUCGUGACCCGCGAGAAGAUCAGCGCGGCGCAGAUCAGCGCCAUCGCGGGACAUCUCGGCGAGGCGCAUGUGCGCCCCACCCUCGAAGUCAUCCUCACCGAAAGCCCGGCGCACCUUCGCAAGCGGCACGAUCCCGAAUCGGGGCUUGAAGAAGGUCAGGCUGCGAUCGCCGGCUCGUCGCGGACCGCGACUUCAACCACCGGCGGUU